GUAGGAUGGAUCCGAAUGAGAAAUUAAUCUCUGAUUUCUUCACCAAAUAUUUGACAACACAACUGUCACAUGAUACUAAAAACAUGGACAUGGACCAAUAGGAAUUAAAUGCAAGAAGGAAAGCUUUGUAAAAUAUGGUGCAGGUCAACCACAAACAUUUCAAAGGGCACCACCAUUGAGACAACAUGGAAGUGGAGGAAACAAUUGAACAACAUUAGAGUCAAGUGAGAGUUGACUGUGAAGGGCAUGGGGAGUUUCACAGUGACUCCUGGGUUUUGAGCUUUUGUGAAUAUAACAAAAGAUGCCUCUUGAUUUUAAUUUUUCUAAUCAGCCUUCCCAAAUUUAUUAUGGAAAAUUACUUUGUUUAUACUUUCCACCUCUCCUCUGUAUGAUCUGUAUAAAAUAAAAUUACUUUACAUGAGCCCUUGUAAGGAGAGAAGCACUGGACUGUAGAAAAAUGAAAUAUCUGAUGAGAAAAGCAAUAGCUAAAUAGAAAGGGCUGGUGCCUGGCUAGGAGGAAAACAGAAGCAAACUAUGGGAUGAAAGAGACCCUCAUCUUUAAGCACUAGGGAUUUCUCCUGGAGGAAGAAAUAUUCAGUUAAACACUUUACAUGUAUUU
rnacentral:lncRNA from 1 species